UACGGAGGGUGCAAGCGUUAUCCGGAUUUACUGGGUUUAAAGGGUGCGUAGGCGGGUAGGUAAGUCCGCGGUGAAAUCCCCGAGCUUAACUUGGGAACUGCCGUUGAUACUAUUUAUCUUGAAUGUUGUGGAGGUUAGCGGAAUAUGUCAUGUAGCGGUGAAAUGCUUAGAUAUGACAUAGAACACCCAUUGCGAAGGCAGCUAACUACGCAAAUAUUGACGCUGAGGCACGAAAGCGUGGGGAUCAAACAGG
rnacentral:rRNA from 1 species